AUUUUUUGUCAUUGCAUAUUGUCUCCGUUGAAUGAAAUUUAUGUCCUUGAGCCAUGUCAGAUUACAUGCUUUUUGUGAACACCAUUACUUAUAAGUAUCCAUCUCAUUAUGUAUCAGGUUCUGAGAUUUAUUAGGAAACAUUGAUGAAGGCACUUGCCAAACAUUUUGGUGCUAUACUACUUGUUGAUUUGUUGCUAUUGCCGGACAUACUGAGAACUUCAUGAAUACCUUAAAUAGUGAUAUUUCUGUGUUGAUUUUGUUUGAAACAAAAUUGUAUGUGGCUGUCCAUGCACACACGGUAUUCAAUUUUUUAUAUAGUGUAGAAGUGGUGUGGAAGUUAAAGCAUCUGUGACUGCAUGUGGAUAUAUUUUGUCAACCCAUGUAACAUUGCCUUUAAACAUGAUUUAGGAUUUUCAUUAUGUGCAACUCUGCCCAGAUUGAGUACCAAGUUGUUUGUUUCGUGCCUAGGUGAGGUCAUUAUGGCGGUACUUGAUGCUCUAAUGUUCAUCUGUGUUAUGGAGUUGGUUCUUUUGAAGUUAAAAGUAGUUGUAUGUUCGUACGAUGCUCUUCUCAGGUUUUAAGCCUAGGUGAAGGCAUAACAUGUGGUAAUGUAUGUUCUUUUCGAUCUGCCUGCGGCUGGUUUUUUACCUCUUCUAGGUUGUUUUGCGUAUUGUGGUUUCCCUUCAUUCCACAUGGUCUAUGAGUUGCGAGGAUUUAGGGUCUAGGAACUGACAGGCUCUUGUUUCUGUUGCUGAUUAGAGCUUUGGUUAAGGAUUGCAACCGGAGGAGCCGGAGAACACGACCCCUGUCCUAUGUGCGGCCAUAUCCCCCAUGGCUUCUACAAGGACCAUAUCCCCCAUGGUUUUUAGGGGACUCUUUUGAAAGGCAUGUGUGUACAGAACACAUGUUUCAUCGUCUUCUCUUUUUUUCAUGAGUUGUUGAACAGAUCUUAUGAAGCUUGAUUGAUAGUGUUUCAACUCAGAUGAAGUGUUCUGGAUGAUCAGUUUUGCAGAUCCUGGAGAUCAUUAUACCUUCUGUACAAUGCACCGUUCGGGAGUGUUGCAUGCCUUUGUAUUGUGUUCCUGAACCUUGCUAAGUUUGUCCAUGUCCAAGUCUUCUGUUCUAA